AGUUCAACCGAUUAUAUUAUUGGUCGACUAUUCUUUAUAACGUUGUUAAUUCAAAAGCUUAAAAUAGAAUUAAAAAUACUCAUCUUUUCUUCUGUGUAGAAUUUUCUUUUAAAUCUUACAGCUUUGGUCAAGCUCCGUGUAAGGUUUGAAUCCAAAUGACCAAACUACACGAGGUAAAUUGCACGGACUAACAUUUCGCGGGCUAAACUAAUUAGCAUAUAAAAGUGACCAGUAAAAAAUGAAUCAAACACACCGGC
rnacentral:lncRNA from 1 species